rnacentral:rRNA from 1 species
CAGUCGCCGCGGGAAUACGGAGGGAGCUAGCGUUGUUCGGAAUUACUGGGCGUAAAGCGCACGUAGGCGGCUAUUCAAGUCAGGGGUGAAAGCCCGGGGCUCAACCCCGGAACUGCCUUUGAAACUAGAUAGCUUGAAUCUUGGAGAGGCGAGUGGAAUUCCGAGUGUAGAGGUGAAAUUCGUAGAUAUUCGGAAGAACACCAGUGGCGAAGGCGACUCGCUGGACAAGUAUUGACGCUGAGGUGCGAAGCGUGGGGAGCAAACAGGAUUAGAUACCCCAGUAGUCCCUGUCUCUUAUACA